AGAGUUUGAUCAUGGCUCAGGACGAACGCUGGCGGCGUGCUUAACACAUGCAAGUCGAACGGAAAGGCCCUUCGGGGUACUCGAGUGGCGAACGGGUGAGUAACACGUGGGUGAUCUGCCCUGCACUUUGGGAUAAGCCUGGGAAACUGGGUCUAAUACCGAAUAGGACCACGCGCUUCAUGGUGUGUGGUGGAAAGCUUUUGCGGUGUGGGAUGGGCCCGCGGCCUAUCAGCUUGUUGGUGGGGUGAUGGCCUACCAAGGCGACGACGGGUAGCCGGCCUGAGAGGGUGUCCGGCUACACUGGGACUGAGAUACGGCCCAGACUCCUACGGGAGGCAGCAGUGGGGAAUAUUGCACAAUGGGCGAAAGCCUGAUGCAGCGACGCCGCGUGGGGGAUGACGGCCUUCGGGUUGUAAACCUCUUUCACCAUCGACGAAGGUCCGGGUUUUCUCGGGCUGACGGUAGGUGGAGAAGAAGCACCGGCCAACUACGUGCCAGCAGCCGCGGUAAUACGUAGGGUGCGAGCGUUGUCCGGAAUUACUGGGCGUAAAGAGCUCGUAGGUGGUUUGUCGCGUUGUUCGUGAAAUCUCACGGCUUAACUGUGAGCGUGCGGGCGAUACGGGCAGACUUGAGUACUGCAGGGGAGACUGGAAUUCCUGGUGUAGCGGUGGAAUGCGCAGAUAUCAGGAGGAACACCGGUGGCGAAGGCGGGUCUCUGGGCAGUAACUGACGCUGAGGAGCGAAAGCGUGGGGAGCGAACAGGAUUAGAUACCCUGGUAGUCC
rnacentral:rRNA from 1 species